AAAAAAAAAAAAAAAAAUUAAAGGCCCUCAUACAUAGCCAGAGAAUGCAACAAUUAUCCCUCCCCUUGUGCACAUUAUUGCUACCUUGACAAUCAAGUGAUUCUCAAAUUUGACAUAGAAUAUAGAGCACAGGAGAAAAAGGAAAAACAAGAAAGGAAAACUUUAGAGCACAAAAAAUUGAAAAAUUAUUUUGACAAACACAUCAGUGAAAAACCCUAUCAGUAACUAAAUAUCAAUGUGAAACAAAGAGCCUAUGCUAGGAAAUACAAACUAAAAGCUCUUGCAAUCAUGCUUAUUAUUUAAUUUCACCAGCCAAUACUCUUCAAUAAUAUGAUGAUUUGCAAAAUAUGUACCUGCGAAAAAUAUAAGAAUUACUU
rnacentral:misc_RNA from 1 species